rnacentral:rRNA from 1 species
GACGUAGGGUGCGAGCGUUGUCCGGAUUUAUUGGGCGUAAAGAGCUCGUAGGCGGCUCGUCGCGUCGACCGUGAAAACCCGCGGCUUAACUGCGGGCUUGCGGUUGAUACGGGCGGGCUAGAGUUCGGUAGGGGAGACUGGAAUUCCUGGUGUAGCGGUGAAAUGCGCAGAUAUCAGGAGGAACACCGGUGGCGAAGGCGACCGCCUGGACGAUGACUGACGCUGAGGCGCGAGAGCGUGGGGAGCAAACAGG